AAAAAAAACGAUAUUGUGCCUGGUAUCCAAUAGGUUAGAGAGACAGAGAGUAUAGGUUAUCAAAAACCAGAGGUAUUUAUUGUAAUUAUAAUAUCUAGAUUCAGGAGGAGAUAGUCACUCCUCUAGGUCUAAAGACAAUUACUGACUAAAAAAGACAAAAAUGGAGACAGUGGGACAGUGUAUAAAGUGUCUACCUGUAGACUUAGUACAUAUAAUAAUAUCAGGUGCUACUAGUAGUAGGAGCAACCCUGAAGGAGUACAUAUAUUAAUUGAUCAAGAUGCACGUUCCUCUAAGUCUAGAGGCAAUCUUAAACCCAUAGUAUAAACUAUUGUCUUGUGGACUUAGUCCAUAUAAUAGAAUCAGGUAAAGGAAGCAACCCCAAAUCGAUAGAUAUGUUAAUAGAUCAAUUAACUCUCAAUUUAGAGUGCCAAAUAUCUUACACCUGAGACAAAUAUAUCUGUAGCCACAGUGGCAACCAGUAUGAAGAUGGUAAAGAACGCCUAAAUCAGCCAACCUUAUAGACAGUGGCUAAACAGUGUCCAAAUACUAAAUUGUACACACAAAGAUGCGUAAUGGCAGCUUAAGAGAGCUUAUUUAAAUAGUCAUAAGGAAAGUGGACUUAUUAAAAGAAAUCCCUAAAUCUCCUGUCUCAUAGCUUAUUAAAUAGUCAUAAGGUAAUAGGCUUAUAGAGGGCUCCCUCGAUCUCCUGUCUCAUAGUAGAAAAUCACUAACCAGGUAUAAGUAUCGAUAGCCUUAAUGAACGUAAAC